rnacentral:lncRNA from 1 species
UUGACUCAAGUACACCAUGCGCGCGCGUCUCCCAACCCUCUGUUGCGCCACGUCAAUUAAUGAAUUCCAAUCCAACGCUUCCUGAUUUUUCUUAUUUCUUAUUUUCUGUUUUAAUUUCUUUUAUUUCCUUUAUUUUCAAAAAUCCAUAUCUUCUUCAUUUUAAAUCCAAAAAAUAUGGGACCAAUUGCAUUCUUCUCCAAAUAAUUUCUAGUUUCUAAUUUUGAUUUUUUUUAUUUCAUCAUUUGAUAUUUUUUUGUGAAU